UUGAACGCUGGCGGCAGGCCUAACACAUGCAAGUCGAACGGUAACAGGAAGAAGCUUGCUUCUUUGCUGACGAGUGGCGGACGGGUGAGUAAUGUCUGGGAAACUGCCUGAUGGAGGGGGAUAACUACUGGAAACGGUAGCUAAUACCGCAUAACGUCGCAAGACCAAAGAGGGGGACCUUCGGGCCUCUUGCCAUCGGAUGUGCCCAGAUGGGAUUAGCUUGUUGGUGGGGUAACGGCUCACCAAGGCGACGAUCCCUAGCUGGUCUGAGAGGAUGACCAGCCACACUGGAACUGAGACACGGUCCAGACUCCUACGGGAGGCAGCAGUGGGGAAUAUUGCACAAUGGGCGCAAGCCUGAUGCAGCUAUGCCGCGUGUAUGAAGAAGGCCUUCGGGUUGUAAAGUACUUUCAGCGGGGAGGAAGGGAGUAAAGUUAAUACCUUUGCUCAUUGACGUUACCCGCAGAAGAAGCACCGGCUAACUCCGUGCCAGCAGCCGCGGUAAUACGGAGGGUGCAAGCGUUAAUCGGAAUUACUGGGCGUAAAGCGCACGCAGGCGGUUUGUUAAGUCAGAUGUGAAAUCCCCGGGCUCAACCUGGGAACUGCAUCUGAUACUGGCAAGCUUGAGUCUCGUAGAGGGGGGUAGAAUUCCAGGUGUAGCGGUGAAAUGCGUAGAGAUCUGGAGGAAUACCGGUGGCGAAGGCGGCCCCCUGGACGAAGACUGACGCUCAGGUGCGAAAGCGUGGGGAGCAAACAGGAUUAGAUACCCUGGUAGUCCACGCCGUAAACGAUGUCGACUUGGAGGUUGUGCCCUUGAGGCGUGGCUUCCGGAGCUAACGCGUUAAGUCGACCGCCUGGGGAGUACGGCCGCAAGGUUAAAACUCAAAUGAAUUGACGGGGGCCCGCACAAGCGGUGGAGCAUGUGGUUUAAUUCGAUGCAACGCGAAGAACCUUACCUGGUCUUGACAUCCACAGAACUUUCCAGAGAUGGAUUGGUGCCUUCGGGAACUGUGAGACAGGUGCUGCAUGGCUGUCGUCAGCUCGUGUUGUGAAAUGUUGGGUUAAGUCCCGCAACGAGCGCAACCCUUAUCCUUUGUUGCCAGCGGUCCGGCCGGGAACUCAAAGGAGACUGCCAGUGAUAAACUGGAGGAAGGUGGGGAUGACGUCAAGUCAUCAUGGCCCUUACGACCAGGGCUACACACGUGCUACAAUGGCGCAUACAAAGAGAAGCGACCUCGCGAGAGCAAGCGGACCUCAUAAAGUGCGUCGUAGUCCGGAUUGGAGUCUGCAACUCGACUCCAUGAAGUCGGAAUCGCUAGUAAUCGUGGAUCAGAAUGCCACGGUGAAUACGUUCCCGGGCCUUGUACACACCGCCCGUCACACCAUGGGAGUGGGUUGCAAAAGAAGUAGGUAGCUUAACCUUCGGGAGGGCGCUUACCACUUUGUGAUUCAUGACUGG
rnacentral:rRNA from 1 species